CGAACAGAUAAGGAGCUUGCUCCUUUGACGUUAGCGGCGGACGGGUGAGUAACACGUGGGUAACCUACCUAUAAGACUGGGAUAACUUCGGGAAACCGGAGCUAAUACCGGAUAACAUUUGGAACCGCAUGGUUCUAAAGUGAAAGAUGGUUUUGCUAUCACUUAUAGAUGGACCCGCGCCGUAUUAGCUAGUUGGUAAGGUAACGGCUUACCAAGGCGACGAUACGUAGCCGACCUGAGAGGGUGAUCGGCCACACUGGAACUGAGACACGGUCCAGACUCCUACGGGAGGCAGCAGUAGGGAAUCUUCCGCAAUGGGCGAAAGCCUGACGGAGCAACGCCGCGUGAGUGAUGAAGGGUUUCGGCUCGUAAAACUCUGUUAUUAGGGAAGAACAAACGUGUAAGUAACUGUGCACGUCUUGACGGUACCUAAUCAGAAAGCCACGGCUAACUACGUGCCAGCAGCCGCGGUAAUACGUAGGUGGCAAGCGUUAUCCGGAAUUAUUGGGCGUAAAGCGCGCGUAGGCGGUUUCUUAAGUCUGAUGUGAAAGCCCACGGCUCAACCGUGGAGGGUCAUUGGAAACUGGGAAACUUGAGUGCAGAAGAGGAAAGUGGAAUUCCAUGUGUAGCGGUGAAAUGCGCAGAGAUAUGGAGGAACACCAGUGGCGAAGGCGACUUUCUGGUCUGUAACUGACGCUGAUGUGCGAAAGCGUGGGGAUCAAACAGGAUUAGAUACCCUGGUAGUCCACGCCGUAAACGAUGAGUGCU
rnacentral:rRNA from 1 species